AGAGUUUGAUCAUGGCUCAGGACGAACGCUGGCGGCGUGCCUAACACAUGCAAGUCGAGCGAAGUGCUUGGAGAUGAUUUUUUCGGAAUGAUUCACCAAGUAUCUUAGCGGCGGACGGGUGAGUAACGCGUGAGAAACCUGCCUUUCACAAAGGGAUAGCCUCGGGAAACUGGGAUUAAUACCUUAUGAAACUGUAUUACCGCAUGGUAGAACAGUCAAAGCGCUUAAGCGGUGAGAGAUGGUCUCGCGUCCCAUUAGCUAGUUGGUGAGAUAAAAGCCCACCAAGGCGACGAUGGGUAGCCGGCCUGAGAGGGUGACCGGCCACACUGGAACUGAGACACGGUCCAGACUCCUACGGGAGGCAGCAGUGGGGAAUAUUGCACAAUGGAGGGAACUCUGAUGCAGCGACGCCGCGUGAGUGAUGAAGGCUUUCGAGUCGUAAAACUCUGUCCUUGGGGACGAUAAUGACGGUACCCAAGGAGGAAGCCCCGGCUAACUACGUGCCAGCAGCCGCGGUAAUACGUAGGGGGCGAGCGUUGUCCGGAAUUAUUGGGCGUAAAGGGUUCGCAGGCGGCCGAUUAAGUCAGAUGUGAAAUCCCACGGCUUAACCGUGGUAAGCAUUUGAAACUGAUUGGCUUGAGUUAAGGAGAGGAAAGUGGAAUUCCUAGUGUAGCGGUGAAAUGCGUAGAUAUUAGGAGGAAUACCAGUGGCGAAGGCGACUUUCUGGGACUUAUACUGACGCUGAGGAACGAAAAGCGUGGGGAGCAAAACAGGAUUAGAUACCCUGGUAGUCCACGCCGUAAACGAUGAGUGCUAGGUGUCGGGGGUCAAACCUCGGUGCCGGAGCAAACGCAUUAAGCACUCCGCCUGGGGAGUACGUGCGCAAGCAUGAAAACUCAAAGGAAUUGACGGGGACCCGCACAAGCAGCGGAGCAUGUGGUUUAAUUCGAAGCAACGCGAAGAACCUUACCAGGGCUUGACAUGCCCCUGACCGCUCUAGAGAUAGGGCCUUCCCUUCGGGGACAGGGGACACAGGUGGUGCAUGGUUGUCGUCAGCUCGUGUCGUGAGAUGUUGGGUUAAGUCCCGUAACGAGCGCAACCCUUGUCUUUAGUUGCUAACAGUUUGGCUGAGCACUCUAGAGAGACUGCCGAUGACAAAUCGGAGGAAGGUGGGGAUGACGUCAAAUCAUCAUGCCCUUUAUGUCCUGGGCUACACACGUGCUACAAUGGUCGGUACAACGAGCAGCUACACAGCGAUGUGAUGCUAAUCUCUUAAAGCCGAUCUCAGUUCGGAUUGCAGGCUGCAACUCGCCUGCAUGAAGUCGGAGUUGCUAGUAAUCGCGAAUCAGCAUGUCGCGGUGAAUGCGUUCCCGGGUCUUGUACACACCGCCCGUCACACCAUGGAAGUUGACAAUACCCGAAGCCAGUGAGCUAACCGUAAGGAGGCAGCUGUCGAAGGUAGGGCCAAUGACUAGGGUGAAGUCGUAACAAGGUAACCGUA
rnacentral:rRNA from 1 species